CGGAUGUCACAGCAGAUAUCGCAACAGCACUAAAAGACUACUUUACGGACAAUACCCGAGACCAAACCUCCACCGCUGUGCGUUGGGAGGCACAUAAAAGCGGGAUCCGGACACUUUAUACAAAAAAGUGCACACCUCAAAAAACAGAGGGAAGCCCGUAGGCUCCAGCUCAUUACUGACAUACAACACCUAGACACACUCCAUAAACGAUCACACCUCCCCACUCACCAGACCACACUCCUCACUCUACGAAGGGAACUAACCACACUCCUCCACACUCAACACCACAGGGCAGCCCUGCGACAUAAAGCGUUUUUCUCCAUCCACGGAAACAAGAGCGGCAAGCUCCUGGCACGCAUGCUUAACAAACGGAGACAGGACACGUACAUUGACCGCAUGCGAGAUACCGGGGGCACCCUACACACCCUCUCAAGAUACAGGACAUCAUACGCACAUAUAAUGCGGACCUGUACUCCCUCCCACGACCACAAACAAGACCAGACGCAAAGACUAGAGGACUCUAUAGACGCGUACCUCCGGACCCAAGACCUCCCCUCACUGACGACGGAAACGAGAGACCGGCUGGAAGAGCCGAUCACACCCGAGGAGCUGGCACAUGCCAUUAAACUCACUAAACCUGGCAGGUGCCCAGGCCCAGAUGGGCUACCCAUCAAAUAUUAUAAGAGUUUCGCAGACACCUUAUAUCCAC